rnacentral:rRNA from 1 species
CAGGACGAACGCUGGCGGCGCGCCUAACACAUGCAAGUCGAACGAGAGAUGAAGAGCUUGCUCUUCAAAUCGAGUGGCGAACGGGUGAGUAACGCGUGAGGAACCUGCCUCAAAGAGGGGGACAACAGUUGGAAACGACUGCUAAUACCGCAUAAGCCCACAGCUCGGCAUCGAGCAGAGGGAAAAGGAGUGAUCCGCUUUGAGAUGGCCUCGCGUCCGAUUAGCUGGUUGGUGAGGUAACGGCCCACCAAGGCGACGAUCGGUAGCCGGACUGAGAGGUUGAACGGCCACAUUGGGACUGAGACACGGCCCAGACUCCUACGGGAGGCAGCAGUGGGGAAUAUUGCACAAUGGGGGAAACCCUGAUGCAGCGACGCCGCGUGGAGGAAGAAGGUCUUCGGAUUGUAAACUCCUGUUGUUGAGGAAGAUAAUGACGGUACUCAACAAGGAAGUGACGGCUAGCUACGUGCCAGCAGCCGCGGUAAAACGUAGGUCACAAGCGUUGUCCGGAAUUACUGGGUGUAAAGGGAGCGCAGGCGGGAGAACAAGUUGGAAGUGAAAUCCGUGGGCUCAACCCAUGAACUGCUUUCAUAACUGUUUUUCUUGAGUAGUGCAGAGGUAGGCGGAAUUCGCGGUGUAGCGGUGGAAUGCGUAGAUAUCGGGAGGAAACACCAGUGGCGAAGGCGGCCUACUGGGCACCAACUGACGCUGAGGCUCGAAAGUGUGGGUAGCAAACAGGAUUAGAUACCCUGGUAGUCCACACCGUAAACGAUGAUUACUAGGUGUUGGAGGAUUGACCCCUUCAGUGCCGCAGUUAACACAAUAAGUAAUCCACCUGGGGAGUACGACCGCAAGGUUGAAACUCAAAGGAAUUGACGGGGGCCCGCACAAGCAGUGGAGUAUGUGGUUUAAUUCGACGCAACGCGAAGAACCUUACCAAGUCUUGACAUCCCUUGACGAACAUAGAAAUAUGUUUUCUCUUCGGAGCAAGGAGACAGGUGGUGCAUGGUUGUCGUCAGCUCGUGUCGUGAGAUGUUGGGUUAAGUCCCGCAACGAGCGCAACCCUUAUGGUCAGUUACUACGCAAGAGGACUCUGGCCAGACUGCCGUUGACAAAACGGAGGAAGGUGGGGAUGACGUCAAAUCAUCAUGCCCUUUAUGACUUGGGCUACACACGUACUACAAUGGCGUUAAACAAAGAGAAGCAAGACCGCGAGGUGGAGCAAAACUCAGAAACAACGUCCCAGUUCGGACUGCAGGCUGCAACUCGCCUGCACGAAGUCGGAAUUGCUAGUAAUCGUGGAUCAGCAUGCCACGGUGAAUACGUUCCCGGGCCUUGUACACACCGCCCGUCACACCAUGAGAGCCGGGGGGACCCGAAGUCGGUAGUCUAACCGAAAGGAGGACGCCGCCGAAGGUAAAACUGGU